UUGAUCGGAAAACCCUUGAAAUGGACUCUUCCCUUGUUAAUCAAGUAUUGGCCCUUUGCAGGUGACGUCACUCUCUUCGAAACCCCGCCCGUUCCGCCAUGACAGACGUCAAAACAACCUAUGCCCUAAUGCAAAACCAGUAAAAAAAAAAAAAAACCGCACAUGUGGUUGCCUAAUAUCGCUUUUAUUUACUUUAAUUUGCAGGGAAAAAUGGUCACAGGGUGCUGCGCGGUCGACUGCACAAACAACGGUGAAAACCAAACUUUUAUUAUAAAACCCGAAGAAAGAUUCGGCGGCGAUGGAUAAAGACCGUCAGCCCUCGGUGUAACCGCGGAUUUGCAACGAACACUUUUUACAAGCCUUGAUAGGGUGGGCUCGUGGUGUGGAUGGAGCCAAGCAGGACCACCUCCCUGGUGACUGACCCUGGCUGCUCGGGGCAGGCGAACAGGUGGGACAGGACCCCCCAAUACUCAGUCCUGGACCCCCAGUUGGGAGAAGAUACUCGUCUUUCCUGAUGUGUAUUUUCAGAUAUGCGCCUCUCUCUGUCUGACUCCCGCAUGCUCCGAUAGACAGAGUGAAGCCCUGCACACCUCCUCCCCCCGUGAAUAUCCUUCCACACCUUGUUGAUGGGACCGGAACUUUCCCGUGUUUCGCCGGGGUGGGCCCUGCCUUGACUCAUGGGGCUGAGUGAGAGGGGUCGCGACCCGAGCUAUGAAGUGCUUCCUGUUUCUGUUCAGGGGGUCUUCAGAGGCCUGCCGUGAUCACAGGAGAAGCAGAGCGAGUGUUUGUCUGUGGGUGUGGGUCGACUCUGGUCAGGGUUCAUGCAUGACGCACAGCAGUGGGGUGAGGACUGGAUGACAUCUAGAGGAUCAUCAUUGCACCGAAGCCUGUCUUAUUCUUCAUCCUCUUCUUCCCUCCACCCCGCUACUAGAUGGGAUCUGGAAGACAGACCUCCAGCCUAUGAUCAGGAUUCAAUUAAAGUCAAAAACCGAUGACAACCCUAAGUUACAACUUGUGGUUUCUUGUCAGACGUUAGAUCAAGCUUUGUCAUGCCUGCUCAUAUUUUGCAUCACCACUCUUUCCCUUUAUCAGUUGAGUUAUUUGCCCUUGAAGUACAUCUGUAUUGUGUUUCCUAUCACGCUGAAUCUCUUUGCUCAGACACACUGUGUUCCAGGGUCCCUGAGGGAGAGGAGAUGGGGCUGGGAAGCUCUGAUGGGAAAGUGGGCCAGCUCUCUUAGCCCUCCGCUGGAGAGCUCCAUAAAAGCAAGCGGAGAAGCCCAACAGCAGAGCCAGUCUUGGCCCAAGCUCAUCAAGCACAUGAGCGAAACACACGACGAUGAUGACUUCAUUCAGCCGAAAUAGGGCUUCCAUCCGUCAUCAGCUGGGAAAAGCUUGUUAUGAAACUCAGGAUUUCCUGAACUUGGGGAUUUUUCACUGUAUUCUGUAUUCAUGCUGUGUUAUUUAACCAUCUUUUUAAGGUUAGCUUUUUGUUUCUAAAAGAAACAUGGAGCUGCUGUUAAGUUCACAAAAAGCAGAAAUGCUGCAGCACCUUAGCAACAGGAGAUGCAGAAGUAGUCUUUUGUAACUCUCAGUUGGUUAAGAGUGUAACCAACUGCAGUCAUUGUAACAAAUGAGUGCUUUGAUCUAAACAUUCCCAUUGUAUGGGUGAUUCUAAAUACUUUCCUAAUGCACUGUACAGUAAAGCUACUGAUGGUCAGUCACUGGGAUGUAACUAUGGUGGACAUCCUUCUUGCACAGCUGCUGCUCUAGGUUGAAACAAUUUUUGUUUCCCAUAGUAACGUGUGAUUAAGAUCACACAUGCUUACUUUAUGCUUACAAACGCUCAAAUGAACAUCCCCUUGUUGAAUACAGCAACCAUAUUGGAAGAGUUUCACUUCUCUACAGGUGAACACCAACACCUUGAUGGUGGUGUUCUAAGAGCCAUCUGCUGUUAUCUGGAGAAUGUUCACUGCACACUUCAUGGACAUAUAUGUCCCACCACUUUGACUUCUCUGCUAUUUUUAGCACCGGCCCUCCACCGAAGGUUGUUAUGAUGAUGUCACACAACCUUUUAAAAACAAUACGGCUGUUUAUAUUUUAUUGGACUUCCUAUCAAAUCCAAGAUAGGAAGAAACAAACAAAAACAUUUUUUAUGUUUCUUUCUGUUUGUUUAUUGGUCAAAAUGGCUGUCAAAAUAAGAAUUUGGGAUUUGUUUAGCAUCACUACUCUGAU